rnacentral:lncRNA from 1 species
CUCGGGAACUUGCGCGGGAGGAGGCCCGGAGCUGCGCCGCUUUACCCUCUGCUCCCCGGUGCCUAAAACGCACACGCAUCAAAGUCACAGGACGAGUUAGAGGAGAAAGGCAGAGGGAGAUUUGAAACACAGAGGAGGUGAUGAGAAGACACAGCAGAAGAUAUCUGAAGACUGGAAAGAAUGCUGCAACCAACAGGAGAAGGAAAAGACAGAAAUGUGUUUUCCAUUUGGAGCAUCCAGAGGGAGCACAACCAUAUCAACACCUUGAUUUUGAUCCAGUGACAUUGAUUUUGGACUUGUGGCCUCCAGAACUUUUAGAGAAUAAAUUUGCAUUGUUUUAAGCCAACAGGUUGGUGGAAAUUUUUUACAGCAGCCACAGGAAGCAAACACAGACUCCUAACUGGUGCUUAGUCCUAGAAUAUCAGUUUCUGUUCCACUUCUGGAUCUCAUAAUUGCAUCUCAGACAUCAACACUGACUUCAUAUUCUUAAUGCACCAAUUCUACCAUUUCUUCAGGCUGCAAACAGAGAAAAACUUAUUUAAGCAUUCCAGAAUUGACCCAAUAGAAGACUCUCCAGAAAAGACUGCAUGGUCUCUGAAGCAGCAUGAUCAGCAUGACUGGCUGCAUCUGGGCUCCACCGUUUGCCACUUCAGACAGGUCCUUAGCCUCUUAGAGGUUCAUUUUCCUUGCUGUAGCCCGGAGUAAGAAUGUUUAGCCUACAAGAUUUAUUUUGAGGCAUCAAUGAAUCACUAUGUGAGCCUCACACAGUGUCUGGCACUGAUAUUACAAAAUAUGGUUGAUCUUGCCAUCCUUGUUAUUGUCCUGGUGGGGAUUCCUCUCUGUUGAAGAUACGGAGCCUCUAAAAAUGAGUGGCAGAGGCUCCCAGCUCAGGAUCCUUGUCCAGGUCCUAAAGAUCCUCCACUCUGCUUGUCACUCUGUUCAUUAUGUUUGCAUGGCCACCACGGUCAACACUACUGCGGCCUACCUCAAGUUCUCAUGCCUCACUCUCUGAGCUCAUGAGG